rnacentral:rRNA from 1 species
AUAGGGUGCAAGCGUUAAUCGGAAUUACUGGGCGUAAAGGGUGCGCAGGCGGCUUGGAAAGAACGGUGUGAAAUCCCGGGGCUCAACCCCGGAACUGCACUAUUAACUAUCAAGCUAGAGUAUGUCAGAGGGGGGUGGAAUUCCGCGUGUAGCAGUGAAAUGCGUAAAUAUGCGGAGGAACACCAAUGGCGAAGGCAGCCCCCUGGGAUAAUACUGACGCUCAGGCACGAAAGCGUGGGUAGCAAACAGGAUUAGAUACCCUGGUAGUCCACGCCCUAAACGAUGUCAACUAGCUGUUGGGCCGGUUACGGCUUAGUAGCGCAGCUAACGCGUGAAGUUGACCGCCUGGGGACUACGGUCGCAAGACUA